rfam:Methylophaga aminisulfidivorans MP 54_3, whole genome shotgun sequence.
UAACUGAGCACUAUCAAAAUGGACGUGCACAUCAAUGCCACCCGGUGUGGCAAUCAGUCCUUCGGCAUCUCUUACUGUGGUCGAUUGCCCCACUAAUAAGUUGUGAUCUACCCCAUCCAUAAUGGCUGGAUUACCGGCUUUACCGAUACCCACUAUCUUGCCAUCUUUAAUACCGACAUCGCCUUUAACAAUGCCAAUAACAGGAUCGAUUACCAGGGCAUUACAUAACAGCAUAUCUAAUGUGCCAUCUUCACUUCCCAGCCCUGAGGUCAUUCCCAUGCC